rnacentral:lncRNA from 1 species
AUGAGUUUACCGAAUUGUUUCAAAACUUGUAAGCGUAGUUUUUGUAGCCUAUAUGUUACAGUGUCUGGGAGCUGGAAGAGCACGGAGGGUGGGGAGAGGUACAAGGCAGGAGCAGGGGGCACCCACCCCGGUGCCAGCCAGGCCCACACCAACAGAACACAGCCCUGUGGGGCCUGGGCUAGGUGUGCAGAGCCCCCGAGACAGACUCCCUGGAAGGGUGAGGGGUGGAUCAGGCCGGAGGGCUUUCCAAGGAACCCAGACAGGGCCAGCAGGGGACAGGGAUGGACACAGGCACCCUACGGCACACCUUGGUGGGGACGAAAACUGAAAUUGUGUUCCUGGGCCACACGGAGGUACUGGAGAGAGGCCUGGUGGUGCUGGGCUGGCUGCAGACCGCCUCUAUGCUAUGGAGAAACAGGACUCUUUUACAUCAGGAGUUGAAAUGCCUACAAUUGUCUACAAAACUAGGAACCAGGAAAGUAUUCUGUAGCAUACAGAAAAAAACUGAGCUGAAAAGACUGAUGUUCAUUUUGUAACAUGGAAAAUACCAUCAGCCUCAGGGAAAAGAUUUUGGGAUGGUUAGCAUAUCUUCCUUAACUUGUGAACUUUCCCAACAUGGCUUUGAACAAUAUUAAAGAAAAGUAGCAGGGAGAAUUAGGGAUUGAAGGACUUUCACUGCCAUGAAAGCCAGCUGAAUGCAUAGGGCAGAGUGACGGUAAGGGCAAUUUAGCUGCCGUCAGAACAGCACUUCCAGGCUGGAGAAGUCUUCUGCAGAGGAAUCAGAUAUGACUGGAAGAGUAGUUGACAGCAGCUGGUACACACUGUGCAUGCUGUAGCCACCUGGUGACCUGCAGCCACCUGGUGACUCACUAAACUGAGAAACAACAUUAGACAAACAAAAUAAAAUGGGGAGAAAUAAACUCGUACUUAGAGCA